GACGAACGCUGGCGGCGUGCCUAAUACAUGCAAGUAGAACGCUGAAGGAGGAGCUUGCUUCUCUGGAUGAGUUGCGAACGGGUGAGUAACGCGUAGGUAACCUGCCUGGUAGCGGGGGAUAACUAUUGGAAACGAUAGCUAAUACCGCAUAACAGUAGAUAUCGCAUGAUAGCUGCUUGAAAGGUGCAAUUGCACCACUACCAGAUGGACCUGCGUUGUAUUAGCUAGUUGGUGAGGUAACGGUUCACCAAGGCGACGAUACAUAGCCGACCUGAGAGGGUGAUCGGCCACACUGGGACUGAGACACGGCCCAGACUCCUACGGGAGGCAGCAGUAGGGAAUCUUCGGCAAUGGACGGAAGUCUGACCGAGCAACGCCGCGUGAGUGAAGAAGGUUUUCGGAUCGUAAAGCUCUGUUGUAAGAGAAGAACGAGUGUGAGAGUGGAAAGUUCACACUGUGACGGUAUCUUACCAGAAAGGGACGGCUAACUACGUGCCAGCAGCCGCGGUAAUACGUAGGUCCCGAGCGUUGUCCGGAUUUAUUGGGCGUAAAGCGAGCGCAGGCGGUUAGAUAAGUCUGAAGUUAAAGGCUGUGGCUUAACCAUAAUACGCUUUGGAAACCGUUUAACUUGAGUGCAAGAGGGGAGAGUGGAAUUCCAUGUGUAGCGGUGAAAUGCGUAGAUAUAUGGAGGAACACCGGUGGCGAAAGCGGCUCUCUGGCUUGUAACUGACGCUGAGGCUCGAAAGCGUGGGGAGCAAACAGG
rnacentral:rRNA from 1 species